GACGGAGGAUGCAAGCGUUAUCCGGAAUGAUUGGGCGUAAAGCGUCCGCAGGUGGCAGUUCAAGUCUGCUGUCAAAGACCGGGGCUUAACUUCGGAAAGGCAGUGGAAACUGAACAGCUAGAGUAUGGUAGGGGCAGAGGGAAUUCCUGGUGUAGCGGUGGAAUGCGUAGAGAUCAGGAAGAACACCCGUGGCGAAGGCGGCACUCUGGGCCUGUACUGACGCUGAGACGCGAAAGCGCGGGGAGCGAACGGG
rnacentral:rRNA from 1 species